rnacentral:rRNA from 1 species
AGUGAACGCUGGCGGUAGGCCUAACACAUGCAAGUCGAACGGCGGCACAGUAAGAGCUUGCUCUUACGGGUGGCGAGUGGCGGACGGGUGAGGAAUACAUCGGAAUCUACUUUUUCGUGGGGGAUAACGUAGGGAAACUUACGCUAAUACCGCAUACGACCUACGGGUGAAAGCAGGGGAUCUUCGGACCUUGCGCGAUUGAAUGAGCCGAUGUCGGAUUAGCUAGUUGGCGGGGUAAAGGCCCACCAAGGCGACGAUCCGUAGCUGGUCUGAGAGGAUGAUCAGCCACACUGGAACUGAGACACGGUCCAGACUCCUACGGGAGGCAGCAGUGGGGAAUAUUGGACAAAGGGCGCAAGCCUGAUCCAGCCAUACCGCGUGGGUGAAGAAGGCCUUCGGGUUGUAAAGCCCUUUUGUUGGGAAAGAAAAGCAGCAGGUUAAUACCCCGCUGUUCUGACGGUACCCAAAGAAUAAGCACCGGCUAACUUCGUG